AUCAGUUUUCAAAGAUUCCAUUUAUCUGAUCUUCCAGCACCAGCAAAAAACGUGUCCAAGAGACUCCGCCAAAAAGAUGAAGAACUCAGGAAGAGCCCGAUACUGAUUGCACACCAAACACCUGCCGUGCGAAAUAUCAGCAUAUCUGCAAUAUUAUUUCCUUCAGAAGCCUGGAACCCCUCCAAGUCAUUGAUGAGACCUGCACUCAACUUCUAAACUCCUGUUGGUGUUGAUAUUUUCACCUCCCCCGAUGAAUUAGGAAUGCUCUCAAUGGCGUGUGGAAUAAAGAAUCCUUUCAGGAUGAUUUUCAAAUGAUUUUACUCCGGCCCAUCAGACAAAUCAUUUUGAAAACUAUAGCCUUAUGAAGUGUACUUAUUAAAUAAUCAGACUUGAGAGUCAGACUUAGUCCUUGAUCCAUGAACUAUAGAAUUGAUGUUUUAUUAGCAAGCAUGAAAACAUUAAUCUCAUUGUACAUUUUCAUCAGAGCUCUUGGGUGACCAGGUGCAUUUUUAAUGAGCAAUAAUAUUUUGAAUAUUUUUUUCCCUGAGCAUUAUGUCUCAAUAGGAGGCUUACAUUUUUCAGUAAGCUAUGUAGUAAACAGAUGUACCCUCAUCCAGGCUUUGUUGUUCCAUUUAUAAACCACAGAAAGAGUAGAUUUAACAUGAUGCUUAAGGGACGCAGCAUUUUCAGAAUGAUAAAAUCAUCAUUGACUGACUUAAAGUCACCAGCUGCAUCAGCCCCUAAAAAGAGAGUCAGCCUGUCCUUCGAAUAUCUGAAGCCAGGCAUGAGUUCUCCCUAGUGAUGAAAGUCCUAGAUGGUAUCUUAUUCCAAUACGAAGCUGCUUCACCUACGUUAAAAAUCUGUUGUUUGGGGUAGACAAUUGGAUCAAUUAUUGUGGCCAGAUUUUUCUGGAUUAUUUGCUGCCACUUGUACAUCAGCACUUGUAUUUUCACUUUACACUUUCACGUUAGAAAACCAGUUGUUUUUCUGAAACCUCCGGAAUUAAUCUUUGUUAAACUUUUCUUCUGCAAAUUUUCUCAUUCUCUUUCAGUCUUUAGAGAAUUGAAGGAAGUUAGAGCAUUAACUCUGGAUUAGAAUUUGGUUUAAAGAAAAGUUAUGGUUUAUCACUAGGCUGCCAGCACCUUGUCAGGGGUCCUUUUUUCCUGCCCAGGAGGGUAUAAGCCCCCAGAGAAGGUAAGUCAGAAAUAACUAGUGAAGAACAAAAGACAAGAGUCAAAAUGAUAGUUUGAAAGGAUGCAGUGCCUGAUAGGUUCAGCCCACACAGGAGCUGGAGCUGGACAAUCAGGAAAAUGGCUCCAUUUGUUUCUUUAGAGGGGGAGCAUCAAAGGCAGGAGUAAGGUUUCAGGGGUGGAGUCUUGCUUCCUGAUGUCUUGCAGUCAACAGGUUGGUGGGCAUCUCGGCAGGUUCUACCCAUCUCUGAGAGGCUGUGUGGCUGCAGCAGGUCACUCCAUCUACCAUGCUGUGUGGGACCAGGCAGAGCUUGAAUAGGGCUCACAUGUGUCUGGGUGGUCUUGGCCAGAGGAAAUGUCCACUGGAAGUUCCCAGGCAUCAGAUCCUCCUAUUCACUGGCUACAAUGCCCUUUUUUUGUUCAUACAUAGCCCACAGAUGGCUUGACAGUUUCAUCUCCUAUUUGGACUACUAAAACUUUCUCCAUACCAGCAGUAAUAAUAACUACUUUCUAAUUAUUUGUGUGUUCACUGGAGUUGCACUUUUGAGUUUCCUUCAAGAAGUUUUUCCAUGACAUUCAAAACUUAACUGGUUAGUGCAAGAGGCCCAGUUUUAAGUCUACAUUGGCUUUUGGCAUGCAAUUCUCAUGAAGCUUCAUAAUUUCUAGCAUUUUAUUUGAAGCAAGAAAGAUGAAAAUCUUCCUAUUACUUGAACACUCAGUGGUCAUUGUAGGCUUGAUUGCUAAUUGGCUAAAUUUUAAUAUGGUUGUUUCUCAGGGAUAGGGAGGCCUUAGGAUAGGGAAAUAGGUGAGAGAAAAAACAAGUGAGUGGAGCAGUCCAAAUGCACACUGUAUUCCUCGGUUUUAUAUGGAUGGAGUUUGCAGCUACCCAAAAUAGUGGUGAUAGUAAAAUAAAAAAAAUCACUGGUUAUAGAAGAUCCUGACAAUUAUAUUAUUAAUGAAAAAACUUGAAAUAUUAUGUUAAUUACUAAAAUGUAACUCAGAGUUAUGAAGCAAGCACAUGCUAUUAGAAAAAAAUGACACUCAUAUAUCUGCUCCAUGCUGGGUUGGCAUGGAUCUUCCAUUUGUAAAACAUGCAAUAUCUGUGAAGUGCAAUAAAAUGAGGAAUUUCUAUAUA